AGCUGUUCCCCUCUGGAGGUUUUUGACCUUCACACCUUUAUGGGCCGCGGUCUUCCGCUGGCCCUUUUUUCUUUUCUGC
rnacentral:ncRNA from 3 species